AGAGUUUGAUCAUGGCUCAGGAUGAACGCUAGCUACAGGCUUAACACAUGCAAGUCGAGGGGAAACGAUAUUGGAAGCUUGCUUCCGAUAGGCGUCGACCGGCGCACGGGUGAGUAACGCGUAUCCAACCUGCCCACCACUUGGGGAUAACCUUGCGAAAGUAAGACUAAUACCCAAUGACGUCUCUAGAAGACAUCUGAAAGAGAUUAAAGAUUUAUCGGUGAUGGAUGGGGAUGCGUCUGAUUAGCUUGUUGGCGGGGUAACGGCCCACAAGGCUACGAUCAGUAGGGGUUCUGAGAGGAACGGUCCCCCANAUUGGAACUGAGACACGGUCCAAACUCCUACGGGAGCA
rnacentral:rRNA from 1 species